ACAACUGACUGGCGAACGGGUGAGUAACACGUGGGUAACCUGCCCCAAAGCGGGGGAUAACAUUUGGAAACAGAUGCUAAUACCGCAUAACCACAGAAACCACAUGGUUUCUGUGUCAAAGAUGGUUUCGGCUAUCACUUUGGGAUGGACCCGCGGCGUAUUAGCUAGUUGGUGAGGCAAUGGCUCACCAAGGCAAUGAUACGUAGCCGACCUGAGAGGGUAAUCGGCCACAUUGGGACUGAGACACGGCCCAAACUCCUACGGGAGGCAGCAGUAGGGAAUCUUCCACAAUGGACGAAAGUCUGAUGGAGCAACGCCGCGUGAGUGAUGAAGGGUUUCGGCUCGUAAAACUCUGUUGUUGGAGAAGAACGGGUGUCAGAGUAACUGUUGACAUCGUGACGGUAUCCAACCAGAAAGCCACGGCUAACUACGUGCCAGCAGCCGCGGUAAUACGUAGGUGGCAAGCGUUGUCCGGAUUUAUUGGGCGUAAAGCGAGCGCAGGCGGUUUUUUAAGUCUGAUGUGAAAGCCUUCGGCUUAACCGAAGUCGUGCAUUGGAAACUGGGAGACUUGAGUGCAGAAGAGGAGAGUGGAACUCCAUGUGUAGCGGUGAAAUGCGUAGAUAUAUGGAAGAACACCAGUGGCGAAAGCGGCUCUCUGGUCUGUAACUGACGCUGAGGUUCGAAAGCGUGGGUAGCAAACAGGAUUAGAUACCCUGGUAGUCCACGCUGUAAACGAUGAAUGCUAAGUGUUGGGAAGGGUUUCCGCCCUUUCAGUGCCGCAGCAAACGCAUUAAGCA
rnacentral:rRNA from 1 species